rnacentral:rRNA from 1 species
CCGCCUGGGGAGUACGGCCGCAAGGUUAAAACUCAAAUGAAUUGACGGGGGCCCGCACAAGCGGUGGAGCAUGUGGUUUAAUUCGAUGCAACGCGAAGAACCUUACCUGGUCUUGACAUCCACAGAACUUUCCAGAGAUGGACUGGUGCCUUCGGGAACUGUGAGACAGGUGCUGCAUGGCUGUCGUCAGCUCGUGUUGUGAAAUGUUGGGUUAAGUCCCGCAACGAGCGCAACCCUUAUCCUUUGUUGCCAGCGGUCCGGCCGGGAACUCAAAGGAGACUGCCAGUGAUAAACUGGAGGAAGGUGGGGAUGACGUCAAGUCAUCAUGGCCCUUACGACCAGGGCUACACACGUGCUACAAUGGCGCAUACAAAGAGAAGCGACCUCGCGAGAGCAAGCGGACCUCAUAAAGUGCGUCGUAGUCCGGAUUGGAGUCUGCAACUCGACUCCAUGAAGUCGGAAUCGCUAGUAAUCGUGGAUCAGAAUGCCACGGUGAAUACGUUCCCGGGCCUUGUACACACCGCCCGUCACACCAUGGGAGUGGGUUGCAAAAGAAGUAGGUAGCUUAACCUUCGGGAGGGCGCUUACCACUUUGUGAUUCAUGACUGGGGUGAAGUCGUAACAAGGUAACCGUAGGGGAACCUGCGGUUGGAUCACCUCCUUACCUUAAAGAA